ensembl:lncRNA
UCUCUCUGUCUCGGUCUCCGGCGCUCUUUGCAGUCCUUUGUUUUAUCUCAGGUGAAUUGUAAUCAUGUGAUCAAACGAACACCCCCCUUCCAUUACCCUCUUAAAUGAAAAAAUGAGGAACAAAAAGCAGUUCUGUGUAUAUAAAAAAAGAAAAGAAAAGAGAAAAGACGCGCGUCUCCCUUUGGAGAGUCUUUUCUCCGUGUGGCUUCAAACGUACACAUAUAGAGGAAAAGCGCGGCGCCGUGUCUCCGUCUCUCGGCGGUACAGAUGUGCGGGGAUCACGCGGAUCUGAGGCCUGCUGCACGCUUUGAUUGGAAGCAGGUUACUGAAAAACCUUCUACAAGUGAUUCACCUGAACAAGAGGAAGACUGAGUCAAAGAUAUCGAGCUGUGGAGGAGUGAGAGUUCUGAGAGAGAGA